rnacentral:lncRNA from 1 species
GAAACUAUGAUUUGGCCGUGGAGGCGUCACCUAACAAUUGUGCUUUACAGGUUAGUUUCUGAUCCUUAUGUCUAAAAAUAUAUUUGUACAAGUCUUAAUAAAACCUAUCGAGUUUUAUAAGGAAUGAAUGUUGUUGUGUGAUUAAAUUCCAUGUGUAGUUAGCAUGCUAGGAUAAAAGCUCUGAAUCAUGUACUGUAACUAACAAGUGUUGUUUCAACACAUUGGUCCGAAUCUUUUCCCAUGAAUCUCUUACAUGUAGCAAUCUGCUUCAAAUAUUUUAGUAAAAGCUCAUGAUGACUUUGAUGAAUCUGACAACAUGUGUAGUCUAACCGCAUCAAUUAUUCUGGCAUGAGGUUGUUUGCCUACACUAGCAUGUUAUUAAAUUAGCAGUGGUGCUUGGCAAAACAAGUUGAAAAUCAAAGCACAUUGUUGUUUCUCAAAUAUGUGUAGAAGCCUCUUUCUAAAAGAUGUGUUUCCAACUUUCUGUCCAUACAAAGCAAGUCUUGUGCAAUUUGUAUGCCAAGUUAGUAAAGCCCAUCUCUUUGCGGCUAUUAUUUUAAAUAUUAGUCACCCUUGUAUGCUCAGGUUUCGGUUCAUGUUUGUUCCGUACAUACCAAAUUUCUUGCUCUAGGACCAUAGAGAAAAAAAAGGGUACCAAUAUUUACAUAUUGUGAGCUUGCCCCUAGAAAUUUCUUCAGUUUCUGUGAACUCUUGUAUUAUGAGAAAUCAGAUCAAUAUUGGUGGGUAAGAAGUUCAUGUUUUAUUUUCCAAUUUUAUUGAUGAUUGAUUAGUUAUUCGUCACGUUCUUUAAGGAGUUGGCGAUGGAAAUAGCUGGGGUGUCAUUAUUCUUGCUUGAUCUGGGCGUAUCACUGUUGACCUGCUGGAAGAGGUGUGCUGGGAGUACAACAUACAAGCUGACGUCGGUAUCACGACAUCAUCAGGGAGGUCGGCAAUGAGAACAUGCGUAUGUUUAUUCAGUGCAGUCACCAUCUCAAAUUAAUUAAUUAGUUUCAAUUAACUCUGUUGAUUAGUCUAUACUAUUACGCUAAUUACUACAAAUCUGAAAUGCAAAUUGAUCAUGUCUACAUUUGCUUAGGAUGUUCAAAUUGACUAUGGGAUGUUCGUGGCAAUGGUGAAGAAGGGGAUCAUCAGGAAUGGAAGUCUGACCAUCAUUCUCCAUGGAGCAUACGACCUCGACUAUCCUUUGAUUGAAAUAUUCAUAUACAACACACUAUAUUUGUUCGCAUUGUGCUAUAGAUCAUAUCAAUAUUUUUAAGUCAAGUCGUGUAAAAAAAACUGAGGAUAACAAGUAUAGGAGAAGCUUUAAUAUUAGAGCAACAGGGGAGGAGCAAAUGAUUGAAUGGGCUAUCAGCCGUGUAAAAUAAAACUGAGGGUAACGUCACCAGGUGGAAAACUAUAUUUGAUUGACAUCAUAACACUAACAAGGUGAAUAACAAUGUAACAUCAUCUUUUCAUUAGUUGAUCCAUUCAACUUCUGGUUGAUAUGAUUGACAUGAUAUUUGGAAAGGGAAGUUAUUUGUUCACUUUGUAUCAUUUUUAUGUGUAAGCUAAUAAUUUG